CCGUGAGCCACCGCGCCAGGCCUAAUUUUUGUAUUUUUAGUAGAGACAGGGUUUCACCCUGUUGGCCAGGAUGAUCUCGAUCUCUUGACCUCGUGAUCUGCCCACCUUGGCUUCCCAAAGUGUUUGGAUUACAGGCAUGAGCCACCGCGCCUGGCUUUCUUUUCUUUAGUGGUCGCUCUAGGACAGGCAUUGGUGACAUCUCGCCUCACUGCAACCUCUGCCACCUGGGUUCAGGCAAUUCUCCUGCCUUGGCCUCCUGAAAAGCUGGGAUUACAGGCGCCUGCCACCUCGCCUGGCUAAUUUUUGUAGUUUUGGUGGAGGCGGACUUUCACCAUUUUGGCCAAUCUGUUCUUGAACUCCUGACCUCGUGAUCCACCCGCCUCGGCCUCCCAAAGUGCUGGGAUUAUAGGCAAGAGUCACUACACUGGGCCGGCAAACUUUUUCUGUAAAGGGCCAGAUACAAUAAAUAUGAUGAGCUUUGUCAGCCAUACAAUGUGUGUUGCAACACCCAAAUCUGAUGCUGUAGUGCAAAAGCAACCAUACAUGAUAUGCAAUGAAUGAGGUGUAACUACAGUCCAACAAAACUGUAUUUACAAAAACAGGCAGUGGGCUGGAUUUGGCCUGUGGAAUAUGGUUUACUAACCCUUACUAUGGGGAUUACAAAAUACAUACUUUUCACAAUCAGAGUUUUUUUCUACCACUUCAAGUUAAAUGUAGAAAUUUUACCACAACAUAGCUCCCUUUACUGUCUCAUCUCGUAGUUCUCAUAUGUGUUACUAUAAAUGACAAACACCACAUACUACAAAUACUGAAACUCCACAUACUAAACGCUAAAAAUGCUUAGUUCUAGGUGAAUUUAUUUAUUUCUUGAGACGGAGUUUCACUCUUCUUGCCCAGGCUGGAGUGCAAUGGCGCGAUCUCAGCUCACUGCAACCUCUACCUCCAGGUUCAAACAGUUCUCCUGCCUCAGCCUCCCAAGUAGCUGGGAUUACAGGCAUGCACCACCACGCCCGGCUAAUUUUUGUGUUUUUAGUAGAGACAGGGUUUCACCAUGUUGGCCAGGCUGGUCUCCAACUCCUGACCUCAAGUGUUCCGCCCGCCUUAGCCUCCCAAAGUGCUGGGAUUACAGGCGUGAGCCGCGGUGCAUGGCUCUAGGUGAAUUUAUAAUUGUUUUAAAAUUAUAUUUAGAGAAUUCCCUCUUGAGACAAACAUCAAAUUUAUGAUUUUCUUUCAGCUGUCAUAAACAUUUUAAAGAACUUAAGAGGAGAAAAAUAAUCUAUUAUAUUUACCAUUGCUGCUGCUCUUCAUCCUUAAUGUUCCGUGUUUCCUUUGGUGUCAUUUCUCUUCUGCCUAAAGAACUUCCUUUAGGAUUUUACAGCGGGUUUUCCGGUGACAAAUUCUUAUUUUCCUUCACCUGAGAAUAUCUUUAUUUCACAUUCAUUCCUGAGCAAUAUUUUCACUGGAUAUAGGAUUUUGAGUUAAUUCCCUUAAGCCCCUUAAAAGUAUCAUUCUAGUUCCACCUGACUUUCAUAGUUUCUGACGAAAAAUGUGCAGUCAUUUGAGUCAUUUUUAUCCUGUGUGAAAAGCACUGUUUUUCUGAAUGCUUGUGGGACUUUUUUCUUUGUCUUUAACCUUCGGCAAUUUUAUUCUGAUGUGUCCAGAUAUGGAUUUUUUUUUUUUUUUUUGAGACAGAGUCUAGCUCUAUCACUCAGGCUGGAGUGCAGUUGGCUUGAUCUCGGUUCACUGCAACUUCCACCUCCCAGGUUCAAGUGAUUCUCCUGCCUCAGUCUUCCAAGUAGCUCGGACUACAGGCAUGUGCCACCACGCUGGCUAUGGACAUGGAUUUGAGUAUAUCUUGUUUGCUAUCCACCAAACUUUUUGAAUCUGUCUUUGUCUUUUGCCAGGUUUGGGAAGUUUUUGUUUUUGUUUUUGUUUUUGAGACAGAGUCUCGCUGUUGUCACCCAGGCUGGGGGAGUGCAAUGGCACAAUCUCAGCUCACUGUAACCUCCACCUCCCAGGUUGAAGCGAUUCUCCUGCCUCAGCCUCCCAAGUAGCUGAGAUUACAGGUGCCUGCCACCACGCCUGGCUAAUUUUUGUAUUUUUAGUAAAGGUGGGGUUUCACCAUGUUGGCCAGGCUAGUCUCGAACUCCUGACCUCAGGUGAAUGGUCCAGCUCAGCUUCCCAAAGUGCUGGAAUUACAGGCGUGAGCCACCACAUCCGGCCUAGUUAUUGCUAUUUUCUGUUUGGUUCUUUAUAUCUUCCAUUUCUUUGCUAAGACUUUCUUUACAUUUGUUUCAAAAGCAUUCUCCCUUUCUUCUUCCUGCAUGGUUAGACUGCUUGCAGCAUUUGCUUUAAAUUCCAACACUUCUGCCUCCUUGGGGUUGGCUGUCUUUUCCCUGGAGAGUUAUUUGUAUGCUGAGUCACCUUAAAUCAUACUCUGGAUAUUUUGAAUAUUAUGGUUUGAGGCUCUGGGUCUUGUUAAAAUCUUAAGGAGCAUGUUGAACAUGUUGAAUGGUAAUUUGUUUUAGCAGGUAAUCAGGUUCAGGCAGCAAGUUUUGACCUGCCUUUUUGGCACUGUGGUUUCAAUGUCGGUUUUAUUUUAAAAGUGUUUGCAGUGCUAUUUGGAUCAGGCCGGCUCGGGUGCCACCCAGUGGCCAGUCAGACCUGGACAGUGAUCCAUUCUGUAAUUCAGUUCACAAAGCCUUAGGUAGGCUGUUCAGGGACAGAUCUACGCUUGCACAGCUCAGAGCUUAGCCCAGGAGUUCAUAAACUUUUACGGGAUUGUUCUCUUGAUUUUCCUCCCGUGUCUCUCUGACAUUUUUUGGGCCCCUGGGGCUUCCCUCUCCAUUCCCAUAUGAUCGUGCCACUGUACUCCAGCCUGGGUGACAGAGCAAGACAUGGUCUCAAAAGCAAAAUAAAACAAAAAACAAGAUGUAUUUGCCAAUUGACUGAUAAAUGAACAGUAAGUAUAGGAUUGUCUAUCUUGCCCCAUUCCCCAAAUUAUGCAUUUCCUAUUGAGGGACAGGCAGCGGGUCACAGAAUGAAGCCUUUCUGCCUGCAGGCCUUUAUCCCACUAUUCUUCCCAUCCAAGAUGCUCGCCCUCUCUUUCAUCAGGCUAAUUCCUACUUGGGCUUCUAGUUUCAGUUUAAAGGUCAUGUCCUUGGAGGCUUUUCUGACCCCAAGCAAGAUGUAGAUCCCAGUUAAAUGCUUUCGUGUCACCCAAUACUUCUUAAAGUACUUAUCACACUUGUAAUAUAUAACCAUGUACUUAAGAACCUCAAAGGACAAGUUUCUCUUGCUCUCUUGCCCUGUACUCAAAAGUUUCACUUUUCCCUUCUCUCUCAGACGGUGACCUUGGGCCCCCUUACAUGUCUUCCAAGGCCCUGCAGUAGCCUUUUCAGAGCCCUUGCAGAGCUGAGUCAAUGAGGGUGAUGAGGGCACAUUUCCAGUUCACACCCCGGAGGUUCUAAUUCAAUAGAAAAGGGUGGAAGUGGGGUCCAGGAAUGCACAUUUUCAGAAGCUCCCCUGAUGAUUUUGAUGCUGGUGGCCCAGAAAAACUGCCUGUGAUAGGCAGCUUCUAACAUGGUUUCCAAUGAUUCCUGCUUGCUGACAGCCACACCCUGUGUAACCUUCACCCCUUGAGUAUAGACUGGACCUGGUAACUGGUAAAAGUGAGGUAAUGUCACUUCCAUGAUUAAGUAACAAAAGACUGUGACUUCAUCUUGCUGGUGUUGUCUUUCUGGCUCUUGCUGUGAUGGAGAAGGCUACCUCGGUGGCCUCUGGCCAACAGUCAAUCAGGAAACGAGGUCCCCGGUCCAACCAUCUGUGAAGUAGUGAAUCCUGCUGACAACCACCGAGCGAGCUGGGAAGCAAAUCCUCCCCAGUUGAACCCUGAGAGGACUAUGGCCCUAGCUAACACCUUGACUCCAGUCUUGUGAGAAACCUAAGCAGAAAACUAAGCUCAGCCGUGCCGAUUCCUUACCCACAGAAACAGAUCAUAUUUAUAUGUUGUUUUAAGGCAUGGUUUUAGGGUAAUCUAUUACGUAGUAAUAGAUAACUGUUGUGACCAGCCCUAAAAUCAUCCAAGAUCACUAUCCAGUAAGGAUCAGCACGUGAGUGUGCAAGUGGAUGACACGAUUCUUGGUUAGGAAGAUUCUCCUGGUGCCCUGGGCCUGGUUACACAUGGAAUCCCUAAAUCCUGAACCCAAUUUCGCAGUCAAAAACUGAUCCUCACCAGCACCCAAAUAAUCUACUGUCCUUUCCCCAUGCCUUCACAGCCAAGACCCUUCUUUCUGUGAAUCAAAGGCAAAUGGCAUUUGUCUUUGUCCCAUAACCUUGGGAUGUGAAUGGUUUCCCCUCCCUCUUUGGGUGAAGUCAGGCAGUCCCAGCCUAGGCCACAUUGGACUUGAGAGCCAUUCUUAAAGGCUAGAAUAAGGGAGGCCUGGGAAGUUAUGGCACCAUUAGCCGGGACCAGCUUACACGUAAAGGUGAUACUAAGUUUCAAAGGAAAAUUGGAGCACGGGCAGGGGUGGCAGGACAGGCUCAAAGCACCAGGAGUUAGCAGCUUUUACACACUGGCGGGCGUGGGAAGAAGGGGUUUAUUUCAGAGGCAGAGACUGAGAAUCAAGUCUUGCUUGUCUAGGGAAAAGCUGAGAAGCUAAGAGUUUCAACUCCUGAAAUGGGGCUCCCUAGACUGGUUUCGUUAAGUGACUGCCCCGCUCAAGACAACAAGCUUACCUAGCCAAUUUGUAAUCAAAAACCUAGGAUCUGGCCGGACGUCGUGGCUCACGCCUGUAAUCUCAGCACUUUGGGAGGCUCAGGCAAGCGGAUCACCUGAGAUCGGGAGUUCGAGACCAGCCUGACCAACACGGAGAAACCCUGUCUCUACUAAAAAUACAAAAAUUAGCUGGGCAUGGUGGCACAUGCCUGUAAUCCCCGCUACUCGGGAGGCUGAGGCAGGAGAAUCACUUCAACCCAGGAGACGGAGGUUACAGUGAACCGAGAUUGUGCCAUUGCACUCCAGCCUGGGCAACAAGUGCGAAACUUCGUCUCAAAAACAAAAAACAAAAAACAAAAAACAAAAAACAAUGCAACAAUGCAGGAUCCCAC
rnacentral:lncRNA from 10 species